ensembl:rRNA 5S_rRNA 5S ribosomal RNA
CAUUGUGGCCAUACCAUACCAGCCUGUCAUUGCCCGAUCCCGUUAGAUCUCGGAAGCUAAGCAGGUCUGGGCCUGGUUAGUAGUUGGAUGGGAGACCACUGAGAAUUCCAGGUGCCACAGUGG